rnacentral:pre_miRNA from 1 species
AGAGAGCACAAGUGAGCCAAGAUGUCUCGCCGACAAUAUCAUGAAAGAGAUCAUAUUCAGCCGGCAAGUCAUCCUUGGCUCAAAAGCACUCU